AUUUAAAUAGCUUAUAUUUAGAGCGUGACACUGAAGAUGUUAAAGAGAUUAGUUAAUCUUUAAAUA
rnacentral:tRNA from 1 species